rnacentral:rRNA from 1 species
AAAUUGAAGAGUUUGAUCAUGGCUCAGAUUGAACGCUGGCGGCAGGCCUAACACAUGCAAGUCGAACGGUAACAGGAAGCAGCUUGCUGCUUUGCUGACGAGUGGCGGACGGGUGAGUAAUGUCUGGGAAACUGCCUGAUGGAGGGGGAUAACUACUGGAAACGGUGGCUAAUACCGCAUAACGUCGCAAGACCAAAGAGGGGGACCUUCGGGCCUCUUGCCAUCAGAUGUGCCCAGAUGGGAUUAGCUUGUUGGUGAGGUAACGGCUCACCAAGGCGACGAUCCCUAGCUGGUCUGAGAGGAUGACCAGCCACACUGGAACUGAGACACGGUCCAGACUCCUACGGGAGGCAGCAGUGGGGAAUAUUGCACAAUGGGCGCAAGCCUGAUGCAGCCAUGCCGCGUGUAUGAAGAAGGCCUUCGGGUUGUAAAGUACUUUCAGCGGGGAGGAAGGUGUUGUGGUUAAUAACCGCAGCAAUUGACGUUACCCGCAGAAGAAGCACCGGCUAACUCCGUGCCAGCAGCCGCGGUAAUACGGAGGGUGCAAGCGUUAAUCGGAAUUACUGGGCGUAAAGCGCACGCAGGCGGUCUGUCAAGUCGGAUGUGAAAUCCCCGGGCUCAACCUGGGAACUGCAUUCGAAACUGGCAGGCUUGAGUCUUGUAGAGGGGGUAGAAUUCCAGGUGUAGCGGUGAAAUGCGUAGAGAUCUGGAGGAAUACCGGUGGCGAAGGCGGCCCCCUGGACAAAGACUGACGCUCAGGUGCGAAAGCGUGGGGAGCAAACAGGAUUAGAUACCCUGGUAGUCCACGCCGUAAACGAUGUCUACUUGGAGGUUGUGCCUUGAGGCGUGGCUUCCGGAGCUAACGCGUUAAGUAGACCGCCUGGGGAGUACGGCCGCAAGGUUAAAACUCAAAUGAAUUGACGGGGGCCCGCACAAGCGGUGGAGCAUGUGGUUUAAUUCGAUGCAACGCGAAGAACCUUACCUGGUCUUGACAUCCACAGAAGAAUCCAGAGAUGGAUUUGUGCCUUCGGGAACUGUGAGACAGGUGCUGCAUGGCUGUCGUCAGCUCGUGUUGUGAAAUGUUGGGUUAAGUCCCGCAACGAGCGCAACCCUUAUCCUUUGUUGCCAGCGGUUAGGCCGGGAACUCAAAGGAGACUGCCAGUGAUAAACUGGAGGAAGGUGGGGAUGACGUCAAGUCAUCAUGGCCCUUACGACCAGGGCUACACACGUGCUACAAUGGCGCAUACAAAGAGAAGCGACCUCGCGAGAGCAAGCGGACCUCAUAAAGUGCGUCGUAGUCCGGAUUGGAGUCUGCAACUCGACUCCAUGAAGUCGGAAUCGCUAGUAAUCGUGGAUCAGAAUGCCACGGUGAAUACGUUCCCGGGCCUUGUACACACCGCCCGUCACACCAUGGGAGUGGGUUGCAAAAGAAGUAGGUAGCUUAACCUUCGGGAGGGCGCUUACCACUUUGUGAUUCAUGACUGGGGUGAAGUCGUAACAAGGUAACCGUAGGGGAACCUGCGGUUGGAUCACCUCCUUA